GUCAGCGUGCAAUAAUGUAGCGCACGUGAAAUAUAAACAUAUAAUAUAUGUUUAUAUUUCACGUGCGCUACAUUAUUGCACGCUGAC